CCUGUUCCGUGUCCGGCCUUGGUCUCUGACUCAAAGUGUUGUUCCCUCAGCUUGAAGGAACUCUCCGGGAGGCCCGGAAGAUGCCGGGCGGGCCACAGGCUGCCGAGUCCCCGGGCCGUGUGGAUUAGAGCCAGGCUUGGGCUGUAUGGGGAAAGGCCACCAAGCCAAGUGUGAUCCAGGCCUGGAAGAGUGGCAGGAAAGGAAGAAAGAAGGGUUCCAGAGAUCCACUGAGAUGAGAGCUGUAAUAUCACAAAGAAAGUGACUGUGAACAAAGCUCCCAAGAACCUCUAAUAUAGCCCUGAAUGUGCACACAUGAGGCUUCAAACUCCAUCACUUACAAGACUUACAAGGCAGUGAAAGUCAGAAGGUCUGUACCAGGUUGGAGAAACCCACAGAAACAGUUGGCCUGAAAAAGGGAAAGCAUAUCGACCCCAGACGCUCUUUGGGAGGCCAGUACAGGACUAAUCCAGCCCCCUGAUCAUGGAUGCCAAUGGGGAGGCCCCUGCACUCCUGGGAGCCUCCAGAGGUGGACUGGCGUUUUGCCCUGGUGUGUGUGUGUGGGGGGGAAUUCGAGAGCCCAUCCCACUUGAAGGGAUGUGCUUUGUCUCUGAACACAUGGGGAGGGGCCUAGGCCCAGCACAGGA
rnacentral:lncRNA from 1 species